UAAACGAUGUCUACUUGGAGGUUGUGCCCUUGAGGCGUGGCUUCCGGAGCUAACGCGUUAAGUAGACCGCCUGGGGAGUACGGCCGCAAGGUUAAAACUCAAAUGAAUUGACGGGGGCCCGCACAAGCGGUGGAGCAUGUGGUUUAAUUCGAUGCAACGCGAAGAACCUUACCUGGUCUUGACAUCCACGGAAGUUUUCAGAGAUGAGAAUGUGCCUUCGGGAACCGUGAGACAGGUGCUGCAUGGCUGUCGUCAGCUCGUGUUGUGAAAUGUUGGGUUAAGUCCCGCAACGAGCGCAACCCUUAUCCUUUGUUGCCAGCGGUUAGGCCGGGAACUCAAAGGAGACUGCCAGUGAUAAACUGGAGGAAGGUGGGGAUGACGUCAAGUCAUCAUGGCCCUUACGACCAGGGCUACACACGUGCUACAAUGGCGCAUACAAAGAGAAGCGACCUCGCGAGAGCAAGCGGACCUCAUAAAGUGCGUCGUAGUCCGGAUUGGAGUCUGCAACUCGACUCCAUGAAGUCGGAAUCGCUAGUAAUCGUGGAUCAGAAUGCCACGGUGAAUACGUUCCCGGGCCUUGUACACACCGCCCGUCACACCAUGGGAGUGGGUUGCAAAAGAAGUAGGUAGCUUAACCUUCGGGAGGGCGCUUACCACUUUGUGAUUCAUGACUGGGGUGAAGUCGUAACAAGGUAACCGUAGGGGAACCUGCGGUUGGAUCACCUCCUUACCUUAAAGAA
rnacentral:rRNA from 1 species